AAACGACGGGUUGGUAACCCUUUGCCGCAAGCUGAAGGCAGGUAUGCGAGCCGAUAUAGCCGGCGCCGCCGACCACGAGAAU
rnacentral:sRNA from 1 species